UUUCAGGCCAGUCACCUUCCCUGCAAAUCAAUCAGAAGUGCCCCAGGAAGCAGACGGGCGGUUCUGUAGCUCACAUGCAGAUCUGGCCAAAGGAUGACGGAAAGCCACUGCUGCCCAGCCAGACCGGACAGUUGGUAGAAACAAGGAACUGAUCCAUGUAUUACCAGUUCAAAAAGAAAAGGCGGAGGAGAGAAUGGCAGUAGAGUCAUGCUGGCCGGAAGUCACCUGCAAAUGACUCAGGAGCGGCAAGAAGAGGUUUUCUCAUUGAAUUCGCACAAUGACCUUGACAUAUGAAUUGCUCACCCUGCACAUAGAUGAGGAAACAGAGAAUCCCAAGUCCUGGAACCAGAAAUGGGUUACCUGAUCCCCCGACUCCGUGGCCCAUGUCUCUUAACGGCUGCACUAGAGGUCCCCUGGCUACACCAAAUGGUUUCCUGGCUAGGGUCAGAGCUGGGAUGACACUCGGGCCGGGGAUCUCUGCAUCAUACCCGUUGUCCUCUCAAAUAGUAGCCAACGGCUCUCCUGGACCGAUGGGGGUGUAGCCGGCAACAUCCAGAUGGUGGGAAACUCUUCACGUCUGCUACAAAGAAAUGGUAGUGAAAGGAAGGAUCCAGAAGGAAGUUCAGAAAUUUAAGAGACUGAAAAGACACAUGUCAUUAAAGAUGCACAAGCCUAAAUAAAAUAUAGGAGGCACAUCUGGGUAAGAAACUGCCAAAAGCUGAAGUCUUGAUUGCUCUACAAGGCAGGAGGAGAGCUCCCGUUGGGGGAGGGGUGUGGUUGGCACGGGGGCCCACAGAAGGGACCCAGGGAGUGCUGGGAAAUCUCUCUUGACCUGGGUAGCGACUACCGCCCCGUGUUCACCUUCCACUGAUCUGUUAAACCGUAUGUUUGCUUUGUGUGGUUUGUUUUAUUUUAAAAUUCAUUUUAUUGUUGUGUGUACUUGGGUUUUAUUUG